GUUUUAUUUGAAUUGUAUAGUAUAAAAUAUUUCGUUUUUCUUGUUUUAAUCAUAAUCUUAGUUAUUUGGAAAAUAUUCCAUGUUGUUAAAUCUGAAAAAUUAUUGUAUGUUCCACGAUUAGGAUGUCAAAUUACACAAAAAUACAAAUUCGGAUUCUCAUCUACAUUUAUUCCAGCAAAAUCAAUACAGGGUUUAUUUAUUAAUGAAGUUUUUUCUAAGCAUCGUGUGUUAUUUGUAUUAAGCAUUUUGGUUAAAGAUGAUAAUAAGGAUACCAUUAUUCCAUUAUUUACGGUACUUUUUAAUAUAAUCAGGGUGAUUUAAUAGUAAUGUGUUAAAUUCCACAUACUUGUUCAUUGUUCAAUGAUUCCCUAAAAUAAUAAUAUCCUGUAUGAACAAAA